rnacentral:rRNA from 1 species
UACGGAGGGUGCAAGCGUUACUCGGAAUCACUGGGCGUAAAGAGCGCGUAGGCGGGAUAGCAAGUCAGAUGUGAAAUCCCAUGGCUUAACCAUGGAACUGCUUUGGAAACUGUGCAGCUGGAGUGCAGGAGAGGUAAGCGGAAUUCCUAGUGUAGCGGUGAAAUGCGUAGAUAUUAGGAGGAACACCAGUGGCGAAGGCGGCUUACUGGACUGUAACUGACGUUGAGGCUCGAAAGCGUGGGGAGCAAACAGG